rnacentral:pre_miRNA from 1 species
GGAAUUCCCUGGCAAAUUCCCAAAGGAGAUUUGGACAACUCAUUUUUCCAAUAAACGCAUUUAACAUCUAACCACCCAAAUUUUAAUCUUAAAUCCUAUUUUUGAGGUACUUAGAGGCAUUUUUUGAAAAAAUGAGUUGACCAAAUCCCCUUUGGGAAUUUGCCAAGGAAUUCC